GCAUAUCAAUAAGCGGAGGAAAAGAAACCAACAGGGAUUGCCCUAGUAACGGCGAGUGAAGCGGCAACAGCUCAAAUUUGAAAUCUGGCUCUCGCCCGAGUUGUAAUUUGUAGAGGAUACUUUUGAUGCGGUGCCUUCCGAGUUCCCUGGAACGGGACGCCAUAGAGGGUGAGAGCCCCGUCUGGUUGGAUGCCAAAUCUCUGUAAAGUUCCUUCGACGAGUCGAGUAGUUUGGGAAUGCUGCUCUAAAUGGGAGGUAUAUGUCUUCUAAAGCUAAAUACCGGCCAGAGACCGAUAGCGCACAAGUAGAGUGAUCGAAAGAUGAAAAGCACUUUGAAAAGAGAGUUAAAAAGUACGUGAAAUUGUUGAAAGGGAAGCGUUUAUGACCAGACUUGGGCUUGGUUGAUCAUCUGGGGUUCUCCCCAGUGCACUCUUCCAGUCCAGGCCAGCAUCAGUUUUCCCCGGGGGAUAAAGACUUCGGGAAUGUGGCUCUCUUCGGGGAGUGUUAUAGCCCGUUGUGUAAUACCCUGGGGGGGACUGAGGUUCGCCAUCUGCAAGGAUGCUGGCGUAAUGGUCAUCAACGACCCGUCUUGAAACACGGACCAAGGAGUCGUCUUCGUAUGCGAGUGUUCGGGUGUCAAACCCCUACGCGUAAWGAAAGUGAACGCAGGUGAGAGCUUCGGCGCAUCAUCGACCGAUCCUGAUGUUCUCGGAUGGAUUUGAGUAAGAGCAUACGGGGCCGGACCCGAAAGAAGGUGAACUAUGCCUGUAUAGGGUGAAGCCAGAGGAAACUCUGGUGGAGGCUCGCAGCGGUUCUGACGUGCAAAUCGAUCGUCAAAUAUGGGCAUGGGGGGCGAAAGACUAAUCGAACCUUCUAGUAGCUGGGUUU
rnacentral:rRNA from 1 species